GCUCCCGUAGUCUAGCCCGGUCAUUUAACAUAGUUUAAAACCGAUAGGAUAGUGGCCUUUCGAGCCAUAGACACGGGUUCAAAUCCCGUCGGGAGCA
rnacentral:tRNA from 1 species